GUCUUUUUGAUUAUAAUUUAAGGUCUGGCCUGCCCAAUGAUUUAAUUUAAUGGCCGCAGUAUUUUGACUGUGCAAAGGUAGCAUAAUCAUUAGUUUCUUAAUUAGGAACUGGUAUGAAUGGUUGGAUGAGGGAAAAACUGUCUCAACUUAAUUAUUUAGAACUUUAUUUUUGAGUUAAAAAGCUCAAAUUUUUUUUAAAGACGAGAAGACCCUUUAGAGUUUUAUAAUAAUAUAUUUUGUAUUUUUAGGGAUUGUUUAAUUAUUAAUAGAUUUAUUAUUUUGUUGGGGUGAUGGAAAAACUUAAUUAACUUUUUUUACUUAUUACACUUUUAAGUGAUUUAUUGAUCCAUUUUUUAUGAUCAUAAGAUUAAAUUACCUAAGGGAUAACAGCGUAAUCUUUAUGGAGAGUUCUUAUCGAUAUAAGGGUUUGCGACCUCGAUGUUGGAUUAAAAUUUAUUCUUGGUGUAGAAGCUAAAAGUUUUAGGUCUGUUCGACCUUUAAAAUUUU
rnacentral:rRNA from 1 species